rnacentral:rRNA from 1 species
GAUGAACGCUGGCGGCGUGCCUAAUACAUGCAAGUCGAGCGAAAAGAUGGGGAGCUUGCUCCUCUGACGUUAGCGGCGGACGGGUGAGUAACACGUGGAUAACCUACCUAUAAGACUGGGAUAACUUCGGGAGACCGGAGCUAAUACCGGAUAAUAUAUUGAACCGCAUGGUUCAAUGGUGCAAGACGGUUUUGGUGACACUUAUAGAUGGAUCCGCGCCGCAUUAGCUAGUUGGUAAGGUAACGGCUUACCAAGGCAACGAUGCGUAGCCGACCUGAGAGGGUGAUCGGCCACACUGGAACUGAGACACGGUCCAGACUCCUACGGGAGGCAGCAGUAGGGAAUCUUCCGCAAUGGGCGAAAGCCUGACGGAGCAACGCCGCGUGAGUGAUGAAGGUCUUCGGAUCGUAAAACUCUGUUAUUAGGGAAGAACAAAUGUGUAAGUAACUAUGCACGUCUUGACGGUACCUAAUCAGAAAGCCACGGCUAACUACGUG